GACGAACGCUGGCGGCGUGCUUAACACAUGCAAGUCGAAGGGAAAGGCGCUGCUGUUGUGGGGUGCUCGAGUGGCGAACGGGUGAGUAACACGUGAGUAACCUGCCCUGGACGGUGGGAUAACUUCAGGAAACUGGGGCUAAUACCGGAUAGGAGCUCCUGCUGCAUGGUGGGGGUUGGAAAGUGUCGGCGGUGGGGGAUGGACUCGCGGCUUAUCAGCUUGUUGGUGGGGUAGUGGCUUACCAAGGCUUUGACGGGUAGCCGGCCUGAGAGGGUGACCGGCCACAUUGGGACUGAGAUACGGCCCAGACUCCUACGGGAGGCAGCAGUGGGGAAUAUUGCACAAUGGGCGGAAGCCUGAUGCAGCAACGCCGCGUGCGGGAUGACGGCCUUCGGGUUGUAAACCGCUUUCGCCUGUGACGAAGCGUGAGUGACGGUAAUGGGUAAAGAAGCACCGGCUAACUACGUG
rnacentral:rRNA from 1 species